rnacentral:rRNA from 1 species
UACGAAGGGGGCUAGCGUUGCUCGGAAUCACUGGGCGUAAAGCGCACGUAGGCGGCUUUCUAAGUCAGGGGUGAAAUCCUGGAGCUCAACUCCAGAACUGCCUUUGAUACUGGGGAGCUCGAGUCCGGAAGAGGUGAGUGGAACUCCGAGUGUAGAGGUGAAAUUCGUAGAUAUUCGGAAGAACACCAGUGGCGAAGGCGGCUCACUGGCUCGAUACUGACGCUGAGGUGCGAAAGCGUGGGGAGCAAACAGG